GGGACACGUGGUAUCCUGUCUGAAUAUGGGGGGACCAUCCUCCAAGGCUAAAUACUCCUGACUGACCGAUAGUGAACCAGUACCGUGAGGGAAAGGCGAAAAGAACCCCGGCGAGGGGAGUGAAAAAGAACCUGAAACCGUGUACGUACAAGCAGUGGGAGCACCCUUUGGGGUGUGACUGCGUACCUUUUGUAUAAUGGGUCAGCGACUUAUAUUCUGUAGCAAGGUUAACCGAAUAGGGGAGCCGUAGGGAAACCGAGUCUUAACCGGGCGUUAAGUUGCAGGGUAUAGACCCGAAACCCGGUGAUCUAGCCAUGGGCAGGUUGAAGGUUGGGUAACACUAACUGGAGGACCGAACCGACUAAUGUUGAAAAAUUAGCGGAUGACCUGUGGCUGGGGGUGAAAGGCCAAUCAAACCGGGAGAUAGCUGGUUCUCCCCGAAAGCUAUUUAGGUAGCGCCUCGUGAAUUCAUCUCCGGGGGUAGAGCACUGUUUCGGCUAGGGGGCCAUCCCGGCUUACCAACCCGAUGCAAACUGCGAAUACCGG
rnacentral:rRNA from 1 species